GCAAGACGGAAAGACCCCGUGAACCUUUACUAUAGCUUGACACUGAACAUUGAGCCUUGAUGUGUAGGAUAGGUGGGAGGCUUUGAAGUGUGGACGCCAGUCUGCAUGGAGCCGACCUUGAAAUACCACCCUUUAAUGUUUGAUGUUCUAACGUGGACCCGUAAUCCGGGUUGCGGACAGUGUCUGGUGGGUAGUUUGACUGGGGCGGUCUCCUCCUAAAGAGUAACGGAGGAGCACGAAGGUUGGCUAAUCCUGGUCGGACAUCAGGAGGUUAGUGCAAUGGCAUAAGCCAGCUUGACUGCGAGCGUGACGGCGCGAGCAGGUGCGAAAGCAGGUCAUAGUGAUCCGGUGGUUCUGAAUGGAAGGGCCAUCGCUCAACGGAUAAAAGGUACUCCGGGGAUAACAGGCUGAUACCGCCCAAGAGUUCAUAUCGACGGCGGUGUUUGGCACCUCGAUGUCGGCUCAUCACAUCCUGGGGCUGAAGUAGGUCCCAAGGGUAUGGCUGUUCGCCAUUUAAAGUGGUACGCGAGCUGGGUUUAGAACGUCGUGAGACAGUUCGGUCCCUAUCUGCCGUGGGCGCUGGAGAACUGAGGGGGGCUGCUCCUAGUACGAGAGGACCGGAGUGGACGCAUCACUGGUGUUCGGGUUGUCAUGCCAAUGGCACUGCCCGGUAGCUAAAUGCGGAAGAGAUAAGUGCUGAAAGCAUCUAAGCACGAAACUUGCCCCGA
rnacentral:rRNA from 1 species